ensembl:misc_RNA Y_RNA Y RNA
AGCUGGUCUAAGUGCAGUGGUGUUUACAACUAAUUGAUCACAACCAGUUACAGAUUUCUUUGUUCCUUUUCCACUCCCACUGCUUCACUUGACUAGCCUUUU